rnacentral:rRNA from 1 species
GCAUAACGCGAAGAACCUUACCCACCUUUGACAUGUACGGAAUCCUUUAGAGAUAGAGGAGUGCUCGAAAGAGAGCCGUAACACAGGUGCUGCAUGGCUGUCGUCAGCUCGUGUCGUGAGAUGUUGGGUUGAGUCCCGCAACGAGCGCAACCCUUGCCAUUAGUUGCUACAUUUAGUUGAGCACUCUAAUGGGACUGCCGGUGACAAACCGGAGGAAGGUGGGGAUGACGUCAAGUCCUCAUGGCCCUUAUAGGUGGGGCUACACACGUCAUACAAUGGCUGGUACAAGGGUUGCCGAACCGCGGAGGGGAGCUAAUCCCAUAAAGCCAGUCGUAGUCCGGAUCGCAGUCUGCAACUCGACUGCGUGAAGUCGGAAUCGCUAGU